ACACGACUACAUUAGAUACCCCUGUAGUCCUAGCCGUAAACGAUACUCGCUAGGUGUCGGCCACGGUGCGACCGUUGUCGGUGCCGUAGGGAAGCCGUGAAGCGAGCCACCUGGGAAGUACGGCCGCAAGGCUGAAACUUAAAGGAAUUGGCGGGGGAGCACAACAACGGGUGGAGCUUGCGGUUUAAUUGGAUUCAACGCCGGAAAUCUUACCGGGACCGACAGCAACAUGAAGGCCAAGCUGAAGACUUUGCCGGCUUAGCUG
rnacentral:rRNA from 1 species